GUUGGGUUGGGUUGGGUUGGGUUGGGUUGGGUUGGGUUGGGUGGGGUGCAACAGUGUUUUGGCAUGGUGAUGGUUAUGGUAUGGGCUAGGUCGGGACAGGACCUCACAGACUUGCCUUCAUCCUCAUAGACUUGCCUACAUACUACUCUUUCUCUUGGUUCCUCAUGGGGGGAAAAAAAGGCUUCUACAAGAGAGAACCCAACAGAACACAUUUUCAUGUCAGGCCUACUUUGCUCUUUUAUACAGUCAUUUUAAUGUGCAUACAACGCUAUAGGGCUCCUGAAUUAUGAAAUUUGAUCAAUACAAAUGUAUAUUAUUGGUAAUUUAAUUGAUGCUGCUUCAAGGGAAUUUUGAGAACCAUAUGACAUGACCUUACAGUAAAGUCCCCACAUGGUAAAAUGACUAUUUGUGCCACUGUAGUAAAUAUUUUAGGAGCUGAUAAAAUAGCAGUAGGUACACUGUAGGAUGAUAGAUGGGUAGCAUAUUUAAUGGGUACAUUGUUACAAUGGGGAUGGUUUUUAGAUUGUGACAAGUAACCUCAACAUCAAUGGUAAUUUGUUAAUUAAGAUGCUAGUUACUCCAUGUCUUGACCUAGAAACUCAGUCUUGAAAUAAAACUCUCCCUUUCCUCUUUUCAAUAAAAAAAGUAAUUGCUUAUGGAUACUCCCCUCAUACAACUAUUUGGGUAGCCUAGUGGUUAGAACGUUGGACUAGUAACCAGCAGGUAGCCUAGUGGUUAGAACGUUGGACUAGUAACCAGCAGGUAGCCUAGUGGUUAGAACGUUGGACUAGUAACCAGCAGGUAGCCUAGUGGUUAGAACGUUGGACUAGUAACCAGCAGGUAGCCUAGUGGUUAGAACGUUGGACUAGUAACCAGCAGGUAGCCUAGUGGUUAGAACGUUGGACUAGUAACCAGCAGGUUGCCUAGUGGUUAGAACGUUGGACUAGUAACCAGCAGGUAGCCUAGUGGUUAGAACGUUGGACCAGUAACCAGCAGGUAGCCUAGUGGUUAGAGCGUUGGACUAGUAACCAGCAGGUAGCCUAGUGGUUAGAAUGUUGGACUAGUAACCAGCAGGUAGCCUAGUGGUUAGAGCGUUGGACUAGUAACCAGCAGGUAGCCUAGUGGUUAGAGCGUUGGACUAGUAACCAACAGGUAGCCUAGUGGUUAGAACGUUGGACUAGUAACCAGCAGGUAGCCUAGUGGUUAGAGCGUUGGACUAGUAACCAGCAGGUAGCCUAGUGGUUAGAACGUUGGACUAGUAACCAACAGGUAGCCUAGUGGUUAGAACGUUGGACUAGUAACCAGCAGGUAGCCUAGUGGUUAGAACGUUGGACUAGUAACUGUAAAGGUUGCAAGAUGUUGUUUAAAAAUGCAGUAAACCAACAUUGCCACUGUAGUAGGCUACAUGUUGUUUAAAACACAGUAAACCAACAUAGCUACUGUAGUAGGUCAAAGCUGUUAGUUGUAAAACCUUGGUAGUACAUGGGUAAAGUUAGGCCUUGGUGCCCCUUGUUAAACUUCUUCCAAGCACUCCAGAGUCCAGUCCAGUUAGAGGUUCUGAUGCUCUAAUUGUCCAGUUAGAGGUUUUUAUACUCUAAUUGUCCAGUCCUGUUAGAGGUUCUGAUGCUCUAAUAGUCCAGUCCAGUAAGAGGUUCUGAUGCUCUAAUAGUCCAGUCCAGUAAGAGGUUCUGAUGCUCUAAUAGUCCAAUCCAGUUAGAGGUUAUGAUGCUCUAAUAGGGUGUGGACAUGGAGGGUUGUGGAUCAGAGAUAAGACAGGUAACUGGCUUCACCACCCAGAGGGCAGGUCAUACCGCUUCCUGAGCUGCAUUCCUCUACCGGGGCGGGAGUGGAGCAGAAUAUAGUGUUAGCUAUCCCUCAAUAAGAGGCAGUACUCCAGACAGGCUGGAGAAGAGCAGAAUGUAGCGUUAGCUAUCCCUCAAUAAGAGGCGGUACUCCAGACAGGCUGGAGAAGAGCAGAAUGUAGCGUUAGCUAUCCCUCAAUAAGAGGCGGUACUCCAGACAGGCUGGAGAAGAGCAGAAUGUAGCGUUAGCUAUCCCUCAAUAAGAGGCAGUACACCUGACAGGCUGGAGUGGAGCAGAAUGUCUGCAGGAAGGAGAUGACAUUAUGGCUAAAUGGAGGUACUACGUCUGUCAAGAACUAUGUUGAUGAAAAUGUGUCAAGGUUUUACCUGUAAUUCUGUUGAAUUGCAG
rnacentral:lncRNA from 1 species